UCGUCUUUUCACUUUACCAUCCGGGUUUGUGGUUGGGUCCAGUUACAUUUCCUACAUUUUAAUUUAUGUGGUGAUGUAGCAUUUGUACGGUGCAAUUGUGUAUUUGUGGUGUAAUUAGAGACAAAAAAAAAAAAUAAAGAGAAAAGAAAAAUAAUUUCAAGUGGGGCCCACCACUAACUUAUUUGGCCAAGAAAUCUUCUUUUCUUUCUCAUUUUCUUUCUCUUUCCCGUAUGCUCUCUCUCCCUCUCGGUUCCUUCUCUUUUUCUUUCAUUUUGUAGACAAAAAACUUUGAGGUUUGAUCACUCAAUCAUCUUUCAUCGGAUUUAGGAACCGUUUGAGGCGAAACGAAGCUUGUAGCGAGCUCUACGCAUCCAUACUAUCAAUUUUCAGAUUUGAGUCUUCCUUGGAGCUCGAAUUUGGAGGACCUAUUCUAGGGAUUUCGGCUUGGAUUGUGAGGUCUUGGAAAGGAACUGGUGGAUGACAACCCACCUCAAGCUUGAACGGCGUUAGAAGUCCACUUUUGUAUCUUUGUAUAUUCCCCAUUAUUUUGUAAAACACUAGAAGUGCAAAGAUAUAUAAUUAUUUUGUGGAACUUUGUCAUGUAAUAUAACUAAAGUAUUGAUGAUGUUUUGGAUGGGGAUUUGAUAGUA